GGGCCAGAACAGAUGAUGUUUCCCAGGGGACCCAAUCCCAGAAAUAUGUGGAGCUGGAGCUUCUGCAGCCUUUUUGCUACCAUGAGAGGAACCAAAUUGUGAAGACAUCUGUUCUGUUAUUAAUUUCACAUACAUCUUAAGCUCCUCAAGGCCAGAAAUGAGGCUUCAUUCACGUCGAAUUAAUGAAACAUGAUUCAGCUACGUUUUCACCCCAUCCUGGGCUCCACGGCCCUGCAGCACAUACUUCGAGAACGCUGCUAAUUUCAGCGUCUGGCUUCCAGACCCAGACGUCAGAACAAGUCCCUUUCAUCUCAGG